UUUUGUCCGGAAUUUAAAAGAAAAAUGGCCAUGAUUAACUUUGGGUUUUCUUUGUCUGUUCUACAUUUUAAAGUUUGAAUUAUGGAUUUUUUUUGUAUGUCAAUCCUUAAAUGAUCACUGUAUGGAUUUUUUUGGUGUUUCGGCAUAUGCCCUUAUUGGAAUUUUGUGAUUUGAGAAUUGUAGAAGUUAGUAGCAAUUCAAAACCCGUUAAAUGGGAUGAGAAUUAGAGUGAUUUGAAAUCGGCGAGCAAGGAAUUGUAGGUGGUAGUGAUACUGAUAAUGGUGGUGUUUUGGUUCUUCAUUCCUUCUCAUCACUUCUACAAGAGGUUAGGUAGCAGAGGAUGGAGGUGAGGAAUCCAAUUUGGAAAGAUGUGCUGAGAGGUUUACAAAACACCUUUGAAGCUGUGGGGUGUUUGGGAUUGAAAAGUUGGGAGAGGCCACAAAUGGGUUCAGAGAGAGUAGCUUGAUUAAAGGGUCCGUGUAUAAAGGUUUCAUUAAUGGAGAUUUCUAUGCCAUCAAGAAGAUGAAGUGGAACGCGUGUGAGGAGCUCAAGAUCUUAUAAAAGGCAGGCAAGAGAAAAGGGAUUGACAAAGCAGAAUGUUUUAGAGAAAGUUAGAAAGUGUCAGGUAA